UCAACCCUGCCGUGCGCGUGAUCCGCACAUAGUUUUGAGCCAACACCCAAACUAAGGGCAUCCCCGUCUGGUCACGAACGCAUUAGGUUAACUCCAAAGCGGGAGUGCCAGGUAGAUGACCCACCUGCGAAAGCAGGUUCAAAACACAGCGGCACACGGCAUGGCGGGAGGACU
rnacentral:other from 1 species